AUGGUAGCACACUAUGCCCGCUAUCGGGAGCUUAAAGAGGGCUCUGCUCCUUACAUAACCUGUGAAAAUGACAAAGAUGAGGAUUAAGAUGUUCAUGUUGUGGAGGCUGAGAAAAUACAGGAAUCACAUGCCCGCAGGGAGGUGCAGAAGAUUGAAGUCAAGAAAGUUCCUGAGGACUCACUGGAGAAAUGUGUCAUCACUCCUUCAAAUAGCUAUGGCCCUACUGACUCCAGCCAGCCUCACGGGGACACCAAUGAAAUCACAUUUGAGGAAGACAACAUCGACCCUGCUCUGGUUGUAGAUUGAAUCAUCUCAUGAUGUGGUGGAGGAUGCUCUAAUCAUUCUUUCAGAAAGUCAAAGUGAUGAUGAGGAAGAGGAAGAAAGAGGGCCAGUGCCCCCCAGGAAUCUGCAGGAGUCUGUGGAGGAGGAUGCCCCCCAGGAGUCCUGGGUUGAAGGUUAUUCGACUCUCUCAAUUCCUCCUGGCACAUCUACCUCUAAUGAGUCUUACAGGAGCAACUUGCACUUAUUAGAGGAGAAGCAAGUCAACUUGGCUGUUGACAUAGGCAAGAUUAAAAAGGACCAAGAAGAGGAAGAAGACCGAGGUCCACUGUGCCCCAGGCUCAGCAUGGAGCUGGUGGAAGCAGAAGAUCCUGAAGUCUUCUGGUACUCACUGGAUAUAUUGUGUUCCACAUACACAGCAUAUCUUGAGUUCUAUUACACAUGCCAGGCUUACACAUAUGCCAUUUUUUUACUUGUGGAAGAGCAUGUUCGCUUGACUUUGGACAUGGACAGUAGGUUUCUUACUAUGACGGUGAUAAGACUCCACCUGGUCUCCCGGAUAGGGAUCAUAUUCCCACACUAAGACAACAUGUCACCUGGGACUCUGCCGGUGCAGAGUAUCAACAACGCCAUGUUCUUGCUGAAAACACUUAGCCUGAGUUUC